rnacentral:misc_RNA from 1 species
UCACCGCGAUACUGUCUCAGUCCCCAGAGCACGGAAGCCAAAAGGGAGCACAGGUGGCCUCAGCUGCUUUUCUCCUUUCGUUUCUUCUCACAUUGCUUAUCCGGCUGCCGCGGCAAGCUGCUGCUGCUUCUCGGACUGCUCCCAGCACUGUCUCCUCGCACAAACCAAAGCGAGGAGCGCUGCACCUCAGUGCCGCACACACCCCGUCAGAAGCGCUGUAUCCGACAGAGCGAGUCUCUCUCGGUUUGGGGGGGGGGGUUCUUUCCCUGGCCACACCCCCACCCCCACACACACACAUACAGAGAAAGAGCACUUUCGAAGCUUCUGUGACGCAGAAGCGCGGUCGCCGGCUGUUCAUCCUCGCUUGAGCCAGAGGGACGUUGGUGGCGAACCAGAGGUGGAGACCAAGUCUCCUGAGCCUUGUUGGCGCACGCUUGAAAGGGCGAGGCGCUCCAGUGCAUCUUUGCAUCCCGCUUGUGCUUCUUUUCCUCCCACCAUUUCUCCCUUCAUCUCAGGGCGGGUGAUGUGGACGUCGCUGCGAUGAAGAGCGCGUCACCGGGUCCAGAUAGGUCCCCUGCAGCCUCACUGUCGAAUACAUCGACGCCGGCCGUUGCUGGCAGCACUGCUGGCACAUCGAGGCCGUCAGCGUCACAUGAGAUACAGACGGAGCCGCGGUACAUAAGGCUCCCAGACGCACUCUACGCCCUGCGCCGCCGCUACCCCUCUGUUACGGAAAGCGUUUUUCUCGAAUGCACGCGCUGCCAUCAGUGGGUGGCGGUGCCCGUUUUGCGUGAAAUUCCGAACGAAAUAGCCACUGCUGCCGUGUCGCGCAGUGCGCUGGGAUUGGAUUCGAUAAGCGUCCGCACAGGCUACAGCGGUCCGCUACAUCAUACGCAUCAAGACGCCUUGCGCCGACGUGAGGAGCUCGCGAAUGACGCCGCCGUCCCGCAGUGGCGGUCAAGGCGACUCCAGGAGAAGCACAGCCACCUCUCGAGAGGCGACGCCAACCACAACGGCGAAGCGCAUGGUGACGUCAGUAGGGCGGCGACAGCGACCCCUCAGCAGGCCUUCUUCGAGUCCAUCCUGCAACACCUGCGAUGCAGCCGGCGCCCGUCACAGGAGGGUGCGGAGGACUCGGCGAUGGAAGCUUCUGAGAGCGCGCGCCAGAGGAGUCGACGGCACACGCCUCUCUACAUUCCGAACCCUGAUACGUUCAUUUGCGCCGGGUGGCAGUGCGCCUGGGACGCGGACGCGCUUGCCGACCUUCGGCGAGACUGGCUGCAGACCAUCUAUCGCGCUCUUCCGAUGCCUCCCGUUUGCGAAGAGAGCAUGGCCCUCUCCUCUGGCGCCUCCUCCUCCUCCCCCUCCCUCCCAACCUCCCCGGCUGUCUCUUUCAUAGAGGCGCUGCGGCAGCGAAAGGCAGCGCUGAACGAGACCCUCGCACUGGAGCUCGAUGUGGGGCGGAGCCGACGCUGGGGACGCGGCGUUGGCCAGCGGGCGGGCCGCUCUGAACACAACUUGGAGAUCCAGGAUAGCCUGCCGGCUCUCUCGCUGCCCGGCUGCGCCGCGGAGAGUGACACGGAGCUCUCUCGGAUGCAGGGGUCGUGGGUGAGGGCGGCCGCUCUGCACCUGCUCCGCAACAGCGGCAGCGCUGCUGAAGGCUGCCUUGUGACACCCGUUGCCGGGGACGACGAAGAGGCCGAAACGCCGCACCACCGUCAUUCCAGCGUGGAGGAAGACAGCCAGGAGAACGUGCUCUCCGCGUACUGCUGGGCGGUGUGCGACGCAUGUGGCAAGCUCCGUCGCGUCGCGCAGCCCUUCCCUGGUGGUGCCCCCUUUGUGUGCGCCAUGGCGGUGACAACGUCCUCGUCCUGUCGCGCAGCCCGCGGCAGCAACGCUCCGCAUUGUGAAGCAGCGUCUGGACUUGACCAGGCAUGCACUGUGUCGGAGGUGGAAGGGCUUCUGCAGUGCAACAUGAAGCUGUGCGAGGCAGAACUCAUCUACGCCGCCCUCUCAUCCCCUUUCCUGCCGUACCCUCUCAGGGCACAGCUGUCCGCGCUCGGCCGGCGACAGACCUGUUUCAAGGGUCCGCCGGAGCCGGCGAAGCGACUGAGCAGGGCUGAUGUGUCGCGCGUUUUGCUUUCUGAGCCGCUACUGCGGACGAUCCAGUCCAGCGUACGGGAGUCCGUGACGAAGGGGGACUUCCACCCCACCGCCUACCAGAGACGCCGCGGCUCCGGCGCCGCAGCCACCGCCACCCCAGCCCCGGUGAAGCCGCGUCGCAAGGCCUCAACAUCGGAACUCGACGACGCUGAUGCCCAGCUGGCAGAGGAGGAGCUCUUUCUUUACCGCUCACUCCCCAUAUUGCGCGAGCUUGCCCGCUCCAUCAAGGCGCGGAGCAUCAGCGCCUUUGUGCAGCAGCUGCAGCUCACACCCGCGCAGAUCCAGGCGAAGCGUGAGGCGGUGAUGCUGACCUCCUUCCUCAGUAAUCACCAGCACACGCCCACGACAGGCAGCGACAGCGGCACCGAAAAACGGAAACCCGCGGCGGUGAUCGCCACAACGAGCGAAGCGGAGAGGACGAGCGCGGAAGUGAAGGUAGAGGAAGGAGACACGUCGAGCACCGAGCCUGCGGAGCGCUUGCCACCACGGCCAACCCGCACGCGGACGAGAGCACCACCAGCGGUGCAAGAGAAUGCGCCAGCGCCGGCAGUGGUGAAGAAGGAACCUAUGAAAAUGCAAGCUGCCAGCGGCAGCGACAUUGCCACGCCUCAACCGGUGGGGGAGCCGACACCAGCCUGGACAAGAGGGAAGCCACCCCAAGAAGCAGGACCGCGGGCUUCGGAACGCCAGGAAGGUCUCGCAUAUGAAGCUGCGCCGCAGCAGCCCGCCCUUGGUGCCCCUCGAAAGCGCGGACGAACGCCUCGCCAGAGGCCAGGAGAGCCCUCAAGGCCGGUAGUCCCUGGGUCCCAGGCAACCGCGGAGGCGACGGGAGUCGUUACAGGUGUCGGCACGGCAUCCCUUCGCCGUCGCCGGCAGCGCUGCGAGAACGUGCCACUGAAAGAGGCAAAGACAGCAAAGAGUAGUGUGGCCACUGCAGGCAAGGCGGAGACAGUGGGAAACGUCGCAAGAUCACCAGCAUCACCGCGGCGUGGGCGACCGCAUGGGCGGCCACCAGGAAGCGGCUCAGCAGGGCGGAAGCGCAGCCAAGGUGCCCACGACGAGGACGCGGAAGCGAAGGCUGAGAAUGGCAACAAGUGGGAGGUGGUGCAUUGGGUUCAGUGUGACCUGUGCAGCAAGUGGCGCAUCGUGCCGCACCGCGUGCCGGCCAAAGUUAAGUUCUGGGAGUGCAAGAUGCGCUAUGACGAGCAGCGCGGCCGGGCGACCACCUGCGACGACCCAGACGACGCCGAGCUCGCCGCGUGAGGCAAUGGAACCGCGCACCCGCACGGAGUUGUGUGACGUUAUAACCUGCCGCGGCGGUCGCUGUACACCCCAACACUCACCUAU